rnacentral:piRNA from 1 species
UCUACAUUUUGUGGAGGUUACAGAAGGA